rnacentral:tRNA from 1 species
GAACGGCCUGGCGCGGCUGUCCGCGCUCGGCGUCGGCGUCUCGCUCGACGUGCCCGGGCAGUACGCCGCGUUCGAGUCGCGGCCGCUCACC